rnacentral:rRNA from 1 species
UACGAAGGGGGCUAGCGUUGCUCGGAAUCACUGGGCGUAAAGGGUGCGUAGGCGGGUUUUUAAGUCAGGGGUGAAAUCCUGGAGCUCAACUCCAGAACUGCCUUUGAUACUGAAGAUCUUGAGUUCGGGAGAGGUGAGUGGAACUGCGAGUGUAGAGGUGAAAUUCGUAGAUAUUCGCAAGAACACCAGUGGCGAAGGCGGCUCACUG